GACGAACGCUGGCGGCGUGCCUAAUACAUGCAAGUCGAACGCUGAAGGAGGAGCUUGCUCUUCUGGAUGAGUUGCGAACGGGUGAGUAACGCGUAGGUAACCUGCCUGGUAGCGGGGGAUAACUAUUGGAAACGAUAGCUAAUACCGCAUAACAGUAGAUGUUGCAUGACAUUUGCUUAAAAGGUGCAAUUGCACCACUACCAGAUGGACCUGCGUUGUAUUAGCUAGUUGGUGGGGUAACGGCUCACCAAGGCGACGAUACAUAGCCGACCUGAGAGGGGGAGCGGCCACACUGGGACUGAGACACGGCCCAGACUCCUACGGGAGGCAGCAGUAGGGAAUCUUCGGCAAUGGACGGAAGUCUGACCGAGCAACGCCGCGUGAGUGAAGAAGGGUGUCGGAUCGUAAAGCUCUGUUGUAAGAGAAGAACGAGUGUGAGAGUGGAAAGUUCACACUGUGACGGUAUCUUACCAGAAAGGGACGGCUAACUACGUG
rnacentral:rRNA from 1 species